AACGCAACUGGCGCCGCUAUUCGGUCAUGCCUGUUUCAGUGUGCUAGGAGAGUAAACUAUCAUUAUAAAAUAUCAUGCGAUUGAGGUACAUUUAUGUUCUUCUUUCGUUAAAUAUGAAGGUGUGAAAGAUGAGUAAUCUCUCACACUGGCAAACGAAGUAGUCAUGCUUGUUCGUGAUCUCGUUUAACCAGUGCUAAAGGUUAUUGCUUAGCUAUAAAUCACAUCUAAUCAAUUAAAUACCUCCAAAUGUGGGAUCUGAAAUCAGACAAGGAUACCCGCUGAACUUAA
rnacentral:misc_RNA from 1 species